UACGGAGGGAGCUAGCGUUGUUCGGAAUUACUGGGCGUAAAGCGCGCGUAGGCGGCUUUGUAAGUUAGAGGUGAAAGCCCGGGGCUCAACCCCGGAAUUGCCUUUAAGACUGCAAAUCUCGAGUCCGGGAAGAGGUGAGUGGGAAAUUCCUAGUGUAGAGGUGAAAUUCUAGAUAUUAGGAAGAAACACCAGUGGCGAAGGCGGCUCU
rnacentral:rRNA from 1 species